rnacentral:rRNA from 1 species
AUGCACGCUGGCGGCGUGCCUCAUCCAUGCAAGUCGCGCGCACGGACGAGAAGCUUGCUUUUCUGAUGUUAGCGGCGGACGGGUGAGUAACACGUGGAUAACCUACCUAUAAGACUGGGAUAACUUCGGGAAACCGGAGCUAAUACCGGAUAAUAUUUUGAACCGCAUGGUUCAAAAGUGAAAGACGGUCUUGCUGUCACUUAUAGAUGGAUCCGCGCUGCAUUAGCUAGUUGGUAAGGUAACGGCUUACCAAGGCAACGAUGCAUAGCCGACCUGAGAGGGUGAUCGGCCACACUGGAACUGAGACACGGUCCAGACUCCUACGGGAGGCAGCAGUAGGGAAUCUUCCGCAAUGGGCGAAAGCCUGACGGAGCAACGCCGCGUGAGUGAUGAAGGUCUUCGGAUCGUAAAACUCUGUUAUUAGGGAAGAACAUAUGUGUAAGUAACUGUGCACAUCUUGACGGUACCUAAUCAGAAAGCCACGGCUAACUACGUG